GAUUCCCCUAGUAACUGCGAGUGAAGCGGGAAAAGCUCAAAUUUAAAAUCUGGCGGUCUCUGGCCGUCCGAGUUGUAAUCUAGAGAAGUGUUAUCCGCGCUGGACCGUGUACAAGUCUCCUGGAAUGGAGCAUCAUAGAGGGUGAGAAUCCCGUCUUUGACACGGACUACCAGGGCUUUGUGAUGCGCUCUCAAAGAGUCGAGUUGUUUGGGAAUGCAGCUCAAAAUGGGUGGUAAAUUCCAUCUAAAGCUAAAUAUUGGCGAGAGACCGAUAGCGAACAAGUACCGUGAGGGAAAGAUGAAAAGAACUUUGGAAAGAGAGUUAAACAGUACGUGAAAUUGCUGAAAGGGAAACGCUUGAAGUCAGUCGCGUUGGCCGGGGAUCAACCUUGCUUUUGCUGGGCGUACUUUCCGGUUGACGGGUCAGCAUCAAUUUUGACCGUUGGAUAAAGUCUGGGGGAAUGUGGCAUCUUCGGAUGUGUUAUAGCCCUUGGUCGCAUACAACGGUUGGGAUUGAGGAACUCAGCACGCCGCAAGGCCGGGUACUUGUACCACGUUCGUGCUUAGGAUGCUGGCAUAAUGGCUUUAAUCGACCCGUCUUGAAACACGGACCAAGGAGUCUAACAUGCCUGCGAGUGUUUGGGUGGAAAACUCGGACGCGUAAUGAAAGUGAAAGUUGAGAUCCCUGUCGUGGGGAGCAUCGACGCCCGGACCAGACCUUUUGUGACGGAUCCGCGGUAGAGCAUGUAUGUUGGGACCCGAAAGAUGGUGAACUAUGCCUGAAUAGGGUGAAGCCAGAGGAAACUCUGGUGGAGGCUCGUAGCGAUUCUGACGUGCAAAUCGAUCGUC
rnacentral:rRNA from 1 species